UGGGACAGGCUUAAAAAAAAAGCUUGCUUUC
rnacentral:piRNA from 1 species